GCGCCAGCCCGCGGUUUGGACGGCACGGGACGGGCCGGCCGCCGACCCGUGCGUCCCGUCUCGCCUCCACGCGCAAACCCCCGACCAAACACGCCAGCGCCCCCCACGACCAAAGGGCGAGGGGGCCAUCUCCAUGUCAUGCUCGCCGCCUCCUGCCCCUCUUCCCCGCCUCCUCCCCCGCCCCGCCCCACUCCUCCACUGACCGCGCGCCGGCGCCCGAUCGGCCGCCAUGGGAGGCCGAGCCUCCCGCCACCGCGCCCAAUCGCACGACCAGGGGCCCAACACAUCGCAGCAUCACCACCAGCAGCAGCAUAACCGCCCGAAGCCCAAGCAGCACCGGCCGCAGCCCCCGCCGCCGCAGGAGCCGCGCCCCCACGCCCUCCCUCCCGCGCGGCAGCAGCACCCGGACGCCGCCGCGGCGGCCGGGGCGGCCGCCGCCGGGGUGGGGCGGGUGCUGGGCCGCCCCAUGGAGGACGUCCGCGCGGCCUACACCUUCGGGCGCGAGCUCGGCCGGGGCCAGUUCGGGGUCACCUACCUGGCCACGCACAAGGCCACGGGCCGCCGCUACGCCUGCAAGUCCAUCGCGGCGCGGAAGCUCGCGCACCGGGACGACGUCGAGGACGUGCGCCGCGAGGUGCAGAUCAUGCACCACCUCACGGGCCACCGCAACAUCGUCGAGCUCCGGGGCGCCUACGAGGACCGCCACUCGGUCAACCUCGUCAUGGAGCUCUGCGAGGGCGGGGAGCUCUUCGACCGGAUCAUCGCCAGGGGACACUACUCCGAGCGCGCCGCCGCUGCGCUCUGCAGGGAGAUCGUCUCCGUCGUGCACAGCUGCCACUCCAUGGGCGUCAUGCACAGGGACCUCAAGCCGGAGAACUUCCUCUUCCUCAACAAGAGGGAGGACUCGCCGCUCAAGGCCACUGACUUUGGCCUAUCCGUGUUCUUCAAGCCCGGUGAGCAGUUCAGGGAUCUUGUGGGCAGUGCAUAUUAUGUCGCCCCAGAGGUGCUGAAAAGGCAAUAUGGAGCUGAGGCAGACAUAUGGAGUGCCGGAGUUAUCCUUUACAUCCUACUAUCUGGUGUUCCUCCUUUCUGGGCCGAGAAUGAAGAUGGCAUAUUUGACGCUGUUUUGCGAGGCCAUAUUGAUUUCGCAUCUGAUCCCUGGCCUUCAAUAUCCAAUAGUGCCAAAGAUUUGGUCAAGAAAAUGCUACGGCAAGACCCAAAGGAGCGGCUUACUGCUGCUGAAAUUUUAAACCAUCCAUGGAUUAGAGAGGAUGGAGAAGCCCCAGACAAACCACUUGAUAUUACAGUAAUUGGUAGAAUGAAGCAGUUCAGGGCAAUGAACAAACUUAAGAAGGUUGCUUUGAAGGUUGUUGCAGAGAACCUGUCUGAAGAAGAGAUUGUGGGACUAAAAGAAAUGUUUAAAUCCCUUGAUACUGACAACAGUGGGACAAUAACCCUGGAGGAAUUAAGAACUGGUUUACCAAAGCUGGGCACCAAAAUUUCUGAAUCAGAAAUAAGGCAGCUGAUGGAGGCGGCUGAUGUUGAUGGAAAUGGUACCAUUGAUUAUGUUGAAUUCAUAUCAGCAACAAUGCACAUGAAUAGACUAGAGAAGGAGGAUCACAUAUAUAAGGCAUUCGAGUAUUUUGAUAAGGACCACAGCGGCUUGCACAUUCCUGUACAGGCACAUAACAGUUGAUGAGUUGGAAGAAGCUCUGAAGAAGUAUGAUAUGGGUGAUGAAGCAACAAUUAAAGAAAUUAUUGCUGAAGUGGAUACAGAUCAUGAUGGGAGAAUCGAUUACCAGGAGUUUGUUGCCAUGAUGAAGAAUAACAGCCCCGAGAUUGUUCCAAAUCGGCGGCGCAUGUUUUAAUGGUCUCCUACAUUUAUUGUGAAAACAGCUUCUCAGAAAUUUUCCACGGUCUUUGUAACUGUUGAGGAGAGCAGUACCUACUCCAAGUGGAAUUUUGUCAGGCAUCUAUGCUGACAUUCCAUACUUGGACGGGGUGCCUCUCCCCUCGUGUGCCCUUCAGUAUGGAUGUUUGGUGGUUCUUUCUGGUGCCUCCUUGUUCUACCAUCUCAUUUUACAAUUUUGCCAUGUAUCUAUCCAUACUGGGGUGUGCCUUCUGGUCAAAGUUUCCUGCCCCUGUAACUUCUAUGUAAGAAAAGGGCUUGUAAAACAGUUUCAAAUGAUCAUAUCAGCCAAAAGGAAUGAAGUGUCAUCCAAUCUUGUGUUUUUUUGCCA